AUAUGUUCUUUUUAAAAAAAAAAAAAAUUUAAUUUUAAUUUUAAUUUUUAUGGGAUAUGAUUGUAGGAUGUGCAUAUCCAAUAUAUUAACUGUAAGUUGCAGCUAUCUUUGUGUUAUCUACUAAAAAAUUUCAGCAAAAUUUUAUUUUGUCAUCCAUAGAUUUUCUCCUCCUCCAAGUCAAUCCAUUGGUCAUAGGGAAAUCAACUGGGACAAGUAAAAUUUCAAAUUUCUCCAAUUUUAAGUGAUUCUUUUUAUAUUAUUUUGAUUUGGGUCAUUGUCUAUUUUGAAUUUCUCAUUUGGGUUUUUUUCAUUUUACUUGAAAUUUUUUUUCAGUUCAUGCAUUAAUUGCUGGUUGUUGGAUUUUAUCAUUUUACUUGGAUGGUUUGUUAUUAUUUUGAUGUGAAUGUUUGGAUGUGUUGUCAAAACAAAUUGCAAUUAUUUGUACUUAUAAACUGAAAUGACCAAAUUGUAAUUUCCUUGCUUCUAAAUAUACACUUCAAGUCAUGAUGUAUUGUUUGGGUGUUGAUUAUGUCAGAAAAAUGAAUUUAAAACAUUGACUUUUGUUUUCUUAAAUUGCAGAUUUAGUUGCAUAAGCAGGCAAUAUAAGUACCUUUUCUAGAAAGAAAAUCUGCAUGUAUCGGUAUGCAAUAGAUAAAUCUAGAUAUAUCUUCCAAACAAACUCACAUGAAUACGAGGAAAAUCUGCAUGUGUUUUACUGUCAUGGGAGUAUUCGGCCGAUGAUGCCUGGGAAUUUGUAGAGCUGCAAGAACAGAUCACUAAAGGCUAUAUAAAUGUUUGUGCUCUUCAUAAGAAAUUCCGGUAUUUCAUGUAAUGACAAAAUGAUGAGUUUUGCUGAGCCAACAUGUUUCAAGCU